UUUCCGUAGGUGAACCUGCGGAAGGAUCAUUACCGAGUGAGGGCCCUCUGGGUCCAACCUCCCACCCGUGUUUAUUGUACCUUGUUGCUUCUGCGGGCCCGCCGCAAGUCCGCCGGUGGGCAUCUGCCCUCUGGCCCGCGCCCGCCGAAGACACCAUUGAACGCUGUCUGAAGAUUGCAGUCUGAGCCAUUAGUUAAAUAACUUAAAACUUUCAACAACGGAUCUCUUGGUUCCG
rnacentral:misc_RNA from 1 species